CCAGCCUGGCCUGCCUGUUCCUGAAGCGGGGGGCCGACGUCAACGCGGUGGACGCGGACGGGAGGGACCCCCUGACCAUCGCCAUGGACUUGGCCAACGCCGACAUCGUCACCUUGCUGCGACUGGCCAAGAUGCGAGAGCUGGAGGUGGCCCAGGGACAGACCAGUGACGACACCUACCUCGACAUCUUCCGCGACAUCUCCCUGAUGGCCUCGGACAACCCCGAGAAGCUCGCCCGGACCCCUCCCCCCAAACACUCCACCCUUUAGCCCCGCCCCCUCGGCAAACCACACCCCUUCAGCAGAACCACGCCCUCUCAGCAAAGCCACGCCCCCUCCUCGGGCA